ACGAGGUUAAGUUAGUUUAGACUGUUUGUUUUCAAAACAAACAGCAGCCCUGCAGGGCUACCUUGUG
rnacentral:tRNA from 1 species